rnacentral:rRNA from 1 species
UACGUAGGGGGCACGUGUCGUUCGAUUGUGGCGUAAAGAGCGUGUAGGCGGCCAGGUAGGUCUGGUGUGAAAACUCGAGGCUUAACCUCGAGAUGUCAUCGGAAACCAUCUGGCUAGAGUCCGGAAGAGGAGAGUGGAAUUCCUGGUGUAGCGGUGAAAUGCGCAGAUAUCAGGAAGAACACCAAUGGCGAAAGCAGCUCUCUGGGACGGUACUGACGCUGAGACGCGAAAGCGUGGGGAGCGAACAGG